rnacentral:rRNA from 1 species
UACAGAGGUCCCAAGCGUUGUUCGGAUUCAUUGGGCGUAAAGGGUGCGUAGGUGGCGCGCUAAGUCAGGUGUGAAAUUUCGGAGCUUAACCCCGAAACUGCAUUUGAUACUGGCGUGCUUGAGGACUGGAGAGGAGACUGGAAUUCACGGUGUAGCAGUGAAAUGCGUAGAGAUCGUGAGGAAGACCAGUGGCGAAGGCGGGUCUCUGGACAGUUCCUGACACUGAGGCACGAAGGCCAGGGGAGCAAACGGG